UCUUUUUUCCCUCAUUUUCGCCUUCUUUUCCACCACCUCCGAAUUUUCACCUUCUCCAUUGAAGCAGCCACACCUCCUUCUCUCUCCAUAUCUCUCCUCCGUUGAACUCGUGCUCUUUAUUCUCCAUUGAAGCGGAUUCUGAUCUUUCUCACCUCCAUUGAAGCAGCUUCGAGGGUUUGUCAUUGAAGCACGCACGGCUCCACCUCCACCACAACGGCCUCCUUGUCACGGCGGCACGACCUUCUUUUUCUAGGGUUUAUCGUCAAUUCCCCCCUUUUUCUUAGAUCUCCUUCUCUGCCACUGCGCCGCAAGCGUUUCCAUCGAUGGCUAGGGUUUUCAGAAACAAUUUUCAUUCAAUAUCUGCAAUUUUAUCGUCCUUCUCAUCGCUGCUCAUGUCAUACCUUUGGUGUACUGGAUUUUCAGAGUUGCAACUGAGAAGCACCAACAAUUUCCUGGAAGAUCUUGAAAACACUGAUUUUGCCUCCUUCUGCAUUGUAUUUUCCGCCGCUAACCCUAAUUUUUAGUUUAAUUUUGUUUGAUAUUUGUUGAUUAUUGAAGAUUUCUUGUGUACUGUGUGUGUUAAUGUGUGAUUGUUGUUAUUUUGUUUUUGUUUCUUUGAGAUGUACUGGUACAACUGUACAAGGAUGCAUCACUCUGUUUUGCAGACUUGUUGCAUGUAUAUAAAAAAGUUCUUAUUACAUGUUUCAUGGAAAAUUGUAUUGAUCUGAGGCACAUAGGUUCUGAAGGCAUUUCAUUAUCCCGUGACAGUCACAUUGAUUCAAUUUGUUGUUGGGUCAGUGCUUGUUACCUUCAUGUGGAUGUUCAAUCUUUACAAGAAACCAAAAGUUAGCGCUGGAGAGUGAUAGGCCAGUUCUUGUCAUCAAGGGUCUAAAUGGAAGAAUCAAUAGAGCUUUUUAGGGGCCUUUAAUCAGCACUAUAAUCAGUUGUGGCAAAGAUGCUAUCAUCUGUGUCUGGGAUCCUGUGAUAAGAAGCAUUACCAGUUGUAUCAUUUCUGUUUGUUAUAUACUUGUAUCCACAUAGCCUUGAGUCUUGGAACUUCAUGAAAGAACAGUGCGCCUUAAAAUUAUGUUAUAUGAUUUACGUAUGCUUGAGUUCUUUUUGCUGCUUAUGCCAUGUUUGGUGGUUUGAUUUUUAGUGCUUCAAAUUGCAGACAGGCCAAGAGAUGAUGUCUACAAAGGACCAUAAAUAUGGUCACACGAAAGCAAUUACAUCACUUUGUCUAUCUGCAGACAAGUCACAUUUCCUUACUGGCUCUUUGGAUAAAUUAGCAAAGCUCUGGGACACAAAAUGCUAUUACCAUGUCUUCUUUACUGGACCAUUGCUCCAGUUUUCCCAUGGCAUAUUUCCUUAGGGCAAAAAUUUGGUAUUUGAAUGGUUUUCACUACAGGAAUUAAAGUGCUUCCCUACUCUUCAAUAUGAGAUAGCAUCAGCAGCAAAUUCAGCACUAAUGAGGUUUCGUGAAGAGAGCAAAAAGACAACUUUGCGGUUAGUAGAGAUGGAAUCCUCAUACAUCACUCCUGAUUUCUUUCGGAAGCUUUCUGCAACAAAUGUGGUUCCAUAUACAGAAGCUUACUACCUAAAGAUCAGCUCGAAUGUGGCCUCUUAUGUCAAUAUGGUGUCAGAAACACUGAAGAACUCAAUUCCCAAGGCUGUGGUGUAUUGCCAAGUCAGACAGGCAAAGCUUUCAUUACUCAAUCAGUUUUACUCGUAACUCGGUAGGAAAGAGGUCAUCUAAGUAUCUAACAGUCAAAUCUUAUUCUGGUAUUUGUUAAAUUGGUUCAAUUGGUUUGAUGUCUAUGACAAAAUGCGCUUCGAAUUAUUGGUUCAAUUUAUUUGGUCUUUCCCUAUUUGUUUUUCCUCGAACCUAGACAUUGAAUGAUUAACUUCAGUCCUUGGUUACAAUGUUGCAUCCCUCACUAGGUUGUUUUGAGUUUGAAUUACCCUGUGCCUAUUCCCUUAAGAAGUCUUAAGAUAUUCAUGUGCCUUAAACUUGUAGGAUGACCUCCAACUAAGGCAAUACACUACAACUAUACAUACACCCCUCAUUCCUCUUCUUACCAAAUUUGUUAUUUUCUCUCUCCUCUUCUUUACAUUUCAUACAUUGCUUUCUAUGCUUACUAAACAGAAAGUUACAUCAGAAUUUUCCAGCAGAUAUCAGUUCAUAAUCAUCAUAUUUUUCAGCAAAAAAUAAAAUCUCUUUUUUUUAACUAAUCUUCUGUUUUUUAUACUUCCCAUUUUUUUCAUGGAAACUUCCUCCAUUCUUGGUUCUGCACAAUCAUCUGACAGUGCUGCAUCCAACUACCGCGGUGGUGAACACUCCUUUCACCAUUCGCCACCCGGAAAUUAUGAUGAUAAGCCGAGUAAUCAUGAGAGUUUUUCCCUGACUUCCAUUCUCCUGAUUGUCAUACCUAUCUUCAUACUUAUCCUCCUUUCUUUCAUCGUAGUCCUUAUUAUAUUGCUUCGACAACAGAGGAGGUCGUCAAAGUGUAACAAUUAUAAUGGCAACAACAACAGCGACAACAGCUACAAGUUUGCUGCUGAUACUGCUAUUAGUUUUACAGAAAGCAGUCCUGGUAACGAUAAUGUUUACUACUUUAUAUUUUAUUCUUUAGUGUUUCAAAUUAGGUUAAUACUUUGUUAAAGAUUUCAUCAGUCAGACUGUUAGUUAAAAUCUGGUAUGAUAUACUGGUUUAUGAUAACUGAGUAGAGGUGAAGAAUGGGUGUAUGUCAGUUCAAGUGUUUAAACUCAUCCAGUGAUUUGAGUUUUUGUAUGAUUGAUAGUGUGUUUGUUCUGAUUCUUUUUCGUGGUUCUGCAUGUUGAUUCAGCCAGCAGUACAAACAAGCAAUGGCAGCAGCAGCACACAACCAGCAAGCCAUAACCAAAGCAGCAACAACAGUACAGCAGCAGCACCACAAGAGAAAAACAAACAGCAGCUAGCAACCUACCCAGCACCCCACAACAACUCAUCCAUCACCAUGAAGGCAUUUAUGAACUAAUUAAAGAGUAAUUUCAUAUACAGAAUUUUAUUUUAUUGUAUUUUUUUUGGACGAAAAUUGUAAUAUUACGGCUUUUUUUAAUGAA